rnacentral:lncRNA from 1 species
UUCUAAAAGGUCCCAUAGCUUGAGACAUCAAUUUUGAUGUGCACAAAUCUAGGUAACAUACUUUUGUCAAAACUAACCAACCAACAUCUUCUAGUUGAAAAUUGAGUUUAUUCUUGCCUUGACUGCCUACAAUUCUAUACUUUUCAUUUUACACUUAAUGCUUAAUUUAGUGGUUUCGUAUAACUUAAGUAGAAAUUCAGCAUGUGUUUUAGCGUCAAAAUUAACUUUUUCAAAAGAUGUGAAAGACAGUAAAUUAAUAGGAGCACGGAAUUUAAAACCAUAUAUCACCUUGAAUGGACUCAUCUUCACAGCGGAAUGUAGCGAACAGUUGUAAGCAAAUGCCACAUGAGGUAGAUACUAUUUUGGCAUCUUCAAAUUACUCUUGAAA